CCUACGGGGGGCAGCAGUGGGGAAUAUUGCACAAUGGGGGAAACCCUGAUGCAGCGACGCCGCGUGAAGGAAGAAGUAUUUCGGUAUGUAAACUUCUAUCAGCAGGGGAGAAAAUGACGGUACCUGACUAAGAAGCCCCGGCUAACUACGUGCCAGCAGCCGCGGUAAUACGUAGGGGGCAAGCGUUAUCCGGAUUUACUGGGUGUAAAGGGAGCGUAGGCGGUGCAGCAAGUCAGAAGUGAAAGCCCGGGGGUCAACUCCGGGACUGCUUUUGAAACUGUUGAACUAGGGUGCAGGAGAGGUAAGUGGAAUUCCUAGUGUAGCGGUGAAAUGCGUAGAUAUUAGGAGGAACACCAGUGGCGAAGGCGGCUUACUGGACUGUAAAUGACGCUGAGGCUCGAAAGCGUGGGGAGCAAACAGGAUUAGAUACCCUUGUAGUC
rnacentral:rRNA from 1 species